rnacentral:rRNA from 1 species
GACGAACGCUGGCGGCGUGCUUAACACAUGCAAGUCGAACGAAGUGGCGAACGGGUGAGUAACGCGUAAUCAACCUGCCCUUCAGAGGGGGACAACAGUUGGAAACGACUGCUAAUACCGCAUACUGAAGGAGGGGAUGGCGUCUGAUUAGCUAGUUGGAGGGGUAACGGCCCACCAAGGCGAUGAUCAGUAGACGGUCUGGGAGGAUGAACGGCCCCAUUGGGACUGGGACACGGCCCAAACUCCUACGGGAGGCCGCAGUGGGGAAUCUUCCGCAAUGGACGAAAGUCUGGCGGAGCAACGCCGCGUGAAUGAUAACGGCCUUCGGGUUGUAAAGCUCUGUUAGUCGGAGCGCGGUACCGAAAUAGAAAGCCACGGCUAACUACGUGCCAGCCGCCGCGGUAAUAC